AUUGAACGCUGGCGGCAGGCCUAACACAUGCAAGUCGCACGAGUGGCGGACGGGUGAGUAAUGUCUGGGAAACUGCAUGAUGGAGGGGGAUAACUACUGGAAACGGUAGCUAAUACCGCAUAACACCGGAAGUGCCCAGAUGGGUUUAGCUCGUAGGUGGGGUAAAGGCUCCCCUAGGCGACGAUCCCUAGCUGGUCUGAGAGGAUGACCAGCGACACUGGAACUGAGACACGGUCCAGACUCCUACGGGAGGCAGCAGUGGGGAAUAUUGCACAAUGGGCGCAAGCCUGAUGCAGCCAUGCCGCGUGUAUGAAGAAGGCCUUCGGGUUGUAAAGUACUUUCAGCGGGGAGGCGUUACCCGCAGAAGAAGCACCGGCUAACUCCGUGCCAGCAGCCGCGGUAAUUC
rnacentral:rRNA from 1 species